CUUUGACUCUAGCAUUUCUGCACAUGGGCCAAAAAAUUAUUACUAGCAGCUAGCUACAUGUACGUAGCUACAAGUAGCAGCUUGUUAGUGCUUCACAAAGACUUUCUCAUGGCAGAGUUCAAGUUUAUGCAGUGGCCUCUCUUGAAUUGUAGCCUCCUCUUCCAGCAAAAUGAAACAUUUAGUAGCCGCGGCUCCUGAUCAAGCAUAUACGGUAAUCAAACGUUUCAACAGUACAGGGUAAAGUACAGAUCAUUAUCAUUGCUAUGGAGAGUGGGUGUACGCACAUAUGCAAAAGCGAUAAAACAUGUAAGUCUCUAAACAGUGCAAAGACAUGACAUAGAGUGUGUCAGUUAGUGCUAGGUAAAGUCAGUUCUUGAGGAGGUUCUUGGGACGACACUGCUACGUGGCUGGCUGCUGGCUCCUUUCUGUAGUAUGAAAUGAAAACAGAACCUUGUAUAUAAUUAUGUAGCCAUCAAUACACAGGGGCAACCACUGGCCUCGUUCUCAGGCCGAUUUUUCUUUAAUAGAAUGGCGACCUAGCUUUAUUUUAGAGACAACUUGGCCUGGGAACGAGGCUAGGGCAACAUCUACUCAUAAUUAUAAGCUGACAAAACUAUAUAAUUAUACAUUGGCGACUUUUGUACGUAUAGUCAGUCGACAAUACAUAAGUUAUCGAAAUUAUUGAAAAUUUAACGGACACUCUCACCUGGAAGUCUGUGUAGGUACCGGCUGAUGCUAGGGAAGCAUUGAUGUGACUGAUCUGACUGAUGAAGCUCUCACUGGUGGGGUCCGGUGGAGGUAGCUGACUAUUCUUGUCUUUUAGAACUCGACGGGCUUUCAACAUAGCUGAUCUCUUCUGUGGAGUAUACAGUGGAGUCUGCUCCACACACACACACAGAGGGAUAAAGUUUGAAUCCAAAACCUUGAAUGGGAGGAAAUAGUUGGCUUAAAGACAAUGGGUCACAAAGGAGUGAGUACACACACAUACAGUACCUUUGCAGUACGUGUGACCCUACUGGUUGACCUGGG